ensembl:lncRNA
GUUUAACAAAGGGGAGGCUGGGCCUGGCGGGGCCUGGUGACUCCACGAUGAGCCACAGGUAGGGCAGGAGGUCAUCUGGCUGCCCGGGACAGCUGCUGGUCCCAGGACGCCACUUCUAACUCCUCCGGACUCUGAGAGACAGUGAACCCAGCUGUGUGCCUCAGGCUGCCGCAGAUGUUGGAAAGAAAACGCCUGGAGAUUCAGUCUCCGAAGGGUGACUUGUCUUGAAUGAUGAGGAAGGUCCAGUUGUACAAGUUCCAUCUGCUGCCCUUACCUGCAACACUCCUUCAAUGGUGAAUGGAACCUCAACUCUCCGGUGACCCCAGCCAUAAACUGGGGAGGCAUUCUGGACUCUUCAGUCCACAUCCAAUUCAUCACUAACCAUGAUAUCCUGCCUCUAAGGACCUCACAGAUCCAUCCUGUUCUCCCCAUCCAUCCUGCAGCUUCUUGAGUUUGAGCAUUACCUGAAUUAUGCAGUAGCCCCUGGUGGGUCUCCCUAGUGCCUCUCCUCAAAUCCCUUUCCCAAAAUGUGGUCAGAGUGAACUUUCUAAGCUAUAAAUC